rnacentral:rRNA from 1 species
UACGGGGGGAGCAAGCGUUGUUCGGAUUUGAUCUGGGCGUAAAGGGGCGCGAGUGAGCGGGCGCAACAAGUCACUUGUGAAACUCGUCCGGCUUAACCCGGAGCGGCCAAGAUGAUACUGUCGUGCUAGAGUGCGGAAGGGGGCUAACUGGAAUUCUCGGUGUAGCGGAUGAAAUGCGUAGAUAUCGAGAGGAACACCUGCGGCGAAGGCGGGUAUCUGGGCCGAC